CAAUGGGACCGUUCAGCCAUACAUCGAUCGAAGCAGAGACAACGUAAUACGAGCAGUGGCCAACGGCGGCCGCGGAGGAGCGGCGAGGAAUCGGAGCACGGAGGCGGCGCGGAACCUAGCCAGGACGCGGCGCUUGGAGAGGCUUGCCAGGGCAAGGCUGAACCAAGCUAGAGCUCGCGCCGACAUUCUAGAAGGUGAUUGACUACCUACUCCAUUAUACCACUACUCGUACUACGUUGUCUUUGCUUUGAUCGAUGUAUGGCUGAACGGUCUCAUUGCUA